rnacentral:lncRNA from 1 species
CAAGUUUGCCCAGCAAAUGAGGUGCGAGCUAAAGGCACACUGGGAACUAAAUGAACUGGAGGUCUGACUGCGAGGGGAGGGGGCUCAAGAUGUAAGCAGCGAAGAGAUCUUGGGCUCUCGCAAUGCGACAUUCAGCUGCGUCACACCUCAGCCGCAGCUGCAGCUCAGAGAGGCCUUCCUUGCCUCCACCACUUUCGCCCAGGCCUCCGCUGCCGCUGCCACCUCUGGUGUAAUCACCUCGGCCCAGCCGCGCCCCGCCCAGCGCUCCUGCUGCCUUCACCGCUGCCACCUCCUCAGCCCCGGCUUCCGCCGCCACCACCCAAGCAUCCAUUUGAAUGGGAGCAACUGUUUGCUGAUGUGUGAAGUGGUAGGAGGAAUGAGCCUGUGCAUCACAGAAACUUCAAUUCAGGUUUGUCUCAUUCUCUUUCUGAAUUGCCAUAUUUAUUUUCUGCUGGAGGCCAUUUCUAUCUUCAGUUUAUAGUAUUCUCUACUUUCUCAGCCCUCACUAGUGCCAGCUUUGCAUUGAAUAGGUCACCAUGACUCAGUGAAAUGCCUGCUUUAGAGGUAUUCUGUGGCAAUCUUCUCAUUAAUUUCUGCUCAACGGACUGGCCAGCAUCUUUAGUUACCUGUUGCUUAUCUGUCUCCUCAUACUGAAGCAGUCUCUAGCUGCCUUCUGAAAAUGAAGAUGAUGUGUUGGUAUAAUUUCUCCUUAACUCCAGCUCCCUUUUUGUUCUAUAUUAUGAAGCUAUUUUCCUAAUGGGUCAUUUCUUGCUGCUUUCAAUGUCUGUCACAGGCCUAAAUCAGAUAUUCACAGCUUGAACAGUUAAGGGAAAAGCAAGCGUUAGCUCAGAGUCCUACAAUAUUUUUGUUUAAAUUUCAUUGUAAGUGGAAGAUAUUCUUUCCAGUGUGUGGCUAAGGAUUGUGAUGAUUUCUUUGAUUCAAAGAUCAUUUCUGCCUUAAUUUUUAUUUGGAUAAUUCUGGUGCACAGAUUGCUGUGUUGAAAACAACAGAGCAAUGUAGAAGGGAA